CAGGCCAUCCCCCCACUUCCCUCUCUGCCAAACUGUGCCUCUCCUUCACCUCCCAAGUCUGGCUCAGACUCUCCCUCCAGGAAGCCGACCGACUUGAUUAGGCCCCUGAGCCCGCAUUGCUCCUUGACUGCCGAUCUGCCUUCCUCCCACCCCGUUUCGUCCAUCUGGGCUCCAGCCUUAGGCCCUCAUCUUCAGUGGCCUUUUUGGGGGGGCCUGGAGCUGUGGCGAAAGGGAAGAGGUGGUGGGGGGAGAGGAAGGACACAGGCCAUUCGAGGCAGAACCACUGGCACCUCUGCUCAAAGCCGAAGAUCUUGGCUGGGGGCGGGGAUUUCUGGACUGGGGCUCAGUGUGGAAGUGGGGGCCAGUUGCCUUCCCGCCUGAUGCCCCUGCCGUCCUUCCUGCCCCCCCCCCCCAGGCUGCACAGAAAACCCAGGAGCUGCUGCAGCGGCACUCACAGGGGCCCCUGAUUGUGGACACAGUUGCUGCCGAGUCCCUCUCAGUGCUGGUGAAGGUGGUGCGGCAGCUGUGUGAGCGGGCGCCUGGCACCUCUGUGCUCCUCCUCAGCCCCCAGCCGCUGGGGCACGUACUGUGUGCCUGUCAGGUGACCCAGAGUGCCACGCCAGCCUUCACAGCGGAGGCCUGGGCAUUGGCGGUAUGCAGCCACAUGGGGGGCAAGGCCUGGGGCUCUCAGGUGGUGGCCCAGGGCACCGGAACCACUGCUGACCUGGAAGCUGCCCUCAGUACGGCACGAGCCUAUGCCCUCGACCAACUCUGACCCGGCUCACCCAGGGACUUGCGUAGACUAAACAGACAGCAGACGGACCCAUGACAGGAGCCCUGAAGGAGCCAGCAGAACUUCCCCGGAGGCUGAAGCAAAGCACUGAAGUCUGGAGGCCAAGCAGCUAAGCCCAGGAGGGCUACUUUGGGCCAGGCCCCGUGCAGACACGAGAUGGGGCUGCAGGAGGCGGAAGUGGACCCAGAGACAUACUCCCCUGUCACUGGAUGAAUGUGGAGCCACGGACUGUCUUGGCUGUGAUUGCUCAUUAAAAAGUAUUUCACUGA